rnacentral:rRNA from 1 species
GACGAACGCUGGCCGCGUGCUUAACACAUGCAAGUCGAACGGUAAGGCCCCAGCUUGCUGGGGUACACGAGUGGCGAACGGGUGAGUAACACGUGGGUGACCUGCCCCGCACUUCGGGAUAAGCCUGGGAAACUGGGUCUAAUACCGGAUAGGACCGCACCGUGAGGGUGUGGUGGAAAGUUUUUCGGUGUGGGAUGGGCCCGCGGCCUAUCAGCUUGUUGGUGGGGUAAUGGCCUACCAAGGCGGCGACGGGUAGCCGGCCUGAGAGGGUGGACGGCCACAUUGGGACUGAGACACGGCCCAGACUCCUACGGGAGGCAGCAGUGGGGAAUAUUGCACAAUGGGCGGAAGCCUGAUGCAGCGACGCCGCGUGGGGGAUGACGGCCUUCGGGUUGUAAACUCCUUUCACCAUCGACGAAGGUUUUCUGACGGUAGAUGGAGAAGAAGCACCGGCUAACUACGUG